rnacentral:rRNA from 1 species
GACGAACGCUGGCGGCGUGCUUAACACAUGCAAGUCGAACGGAAAGGCCCUGCUUGCAGGGUACUCGAGUGGCGAACGGGUGAGUAACACGUGGGUGAUCUGCCCUGCACUUCGGGAUAAGCCUGGGAAACUGGGUCUAAUACCGGAUAGGAGCCAUUUUUAGUGUGAUGGUUGGAAAGUUUUUUCGGUGUAGGAUGAGCUCGCGGCCUAUCAGCUUGUUGGUGGGGUAAUGGCCUACCAAGGCGGCGACGGGUAGCCGGCCUGAGAGAGUGGACGGCCACAUUGGGACUGAGAUACGGCCCAGACUCCUACGGGAGGCAGCAGUGGGGAAUAUUGCACAAUGGGCGCAAGCCUGAUGCAGCGACGCCGCGUGGGGGAUGACGGCCUUCGGGUUGUAAACUCCUUUCGCUAGGGACGAAGCUUUUUGUGACGGUACCUAGAUAAGAAGCACCGGCUAACUACGUG